AUGAACGCUGGCGGCGUGCCUAAUACAUGCAAGUCGAGCGAACAGACGAGGAGCUUGCUCCUCUGACGUUAGCGGCGGACGGGUGAGUAACACGUGGAUAACCUACCUAUAAGACUGGGAUAACUUCGGGAAACCGGAGCUAAUACCGGAUAAUAUAUUGAACCGCAUGUUUCAAUAGUGAAAGACGGUUUUGCUGUCACUUAUAGAUGGAUCCGCGCCGCAUUAGCUAGUUGGUAAGGUAACGGCUUACCAAGGCAACGAUGCGUAGCCGACCUGAGAGGGUGAUCGGCCACACUGGAACUGAGACACGGUCCAGACUCCUACGGGAGGCAGCAGUAGGGAAUCUUCCGCAAUGGGCGAAAGCUUGACGGAGCAACGCCGCGUGAGUGAUGAAGGUCUUCGGAUCGUAAAACUCUGUUAUUAGGGAAGAACAAAUGUGUAAGUAACUAUGCACGUCUUGACGGUACCUAAUCAGAAAGCCACGGCUAACUACGUG
rnacentral:rRNA from 1 species